rnacentral:rRNA from 1 species
UGCUCUAGGGAAUUAGUGGCGAACGGGUGAGUAACACGUGAGUAACCUGCCCUUGACUCUGGGAUAACCUCCGGAAACGGAAGCUAAUACCGGAUAUGACGCACGGAGGCAUCUCCUGUGCGUGGAAAGAACUUCGGUCAAGGAUGGACUCGCGGCCUAUCAGGUAGUUGGUGAGGUAACGGCUCACCAAGCCUACGACGGGUAGCCGGCCUGAGAGGGUGACCGGCCACACUGGGACUGAGACACGGCCCAGACUCC